UACGUAGGGGGCGAGCGUUGUCCGGAGUUACUGGGCGUAAAGGGCGUGCAGGCGGUCUGCUAAGUUCGGAGUGACAGUUCCCGGCUCAACUGGGGAAGGCCUACCGAAAACUGGGAGACUUGAGGGUCAGAGAGGGACACAGAAUUCCGGGUGGAGUGGUGAAAUGCGUAGAUAUCCGGAGGAAUACCAAAGGCGAAGGCAGUGUCCUGGCUGACAUCUGACGCUGAGGCGCGAAAGCUAGGGGAGCGAACAGG
rnacentral:rRNA from 1 species